UACGUAGGUGGCAAGCGUUAUCCGGAAUUACUGGGUGUAAAGGGUGUGUAGGCGGGACUGUAAGUCAGAUGUGAAAAUCACGGGCUCAACCCGUGACCUGCAUUUGAGACUGCGGUUCUUGAGAGUCGGAGAGGUAAAUGGAAUUCCCGGUGUAGCGGUGAAAUGCGUAGAUAUUAGGAGGAACACCAGUUGCGAAGGCGGCUCUCUGGACUGUAACUGACGCUGAGGCACGAAAGCGUGGGGAGCAAACAGGAUUAGAUACCCCCGUAGUCCCU
rnacentral:rRNA from 1 species